AUCAUCCAUUGUUGAAGUAGACAGUGAGAAAAGUUAAUCCAGAAAGAGAAAGCAUCUCCGAAGCCUCAACCGCUCUCUUAUCAUUGAUUUAACACCAAUCCGGUAACUCUUUUCUUAUUCUAUUUUAUGUGUUUUUAACCAACCAACCAUCCUUUCUAAUCGCCUGACUGAGAUCCACAAGAUGGCCAUUGCUUGCUCAAUCCGAUAAUCUCUAUGGGAUUCGAUCCUCACUCACCUGAGGUAUUACUUGGACGACCCGAUGCACUUACCGGUUCAUCUGUGCAAAAGUUUGCAGAGUCAAUUUCGUACACCAGUGGCUGGUGGUCAUGGACAAAAGAGAGUGACUCCUAUGCCUUCUAAACAAAGCACUCAAAAAGACAUUCUAAUUUCCAAAAGAACGAAAAGUAAGCCGAACCAGAAAAUUAGAGCUAGUGAAGAAGAACCAUAAAAUCUUAAAAAGCAUCCAACCAUGGGUAUGGAUAAAUUUUUGGAGACACAUGGGAUUCAUUUGGAAAGAGAAGAUGACAAUUUUGAACGAAGUGCUAAAAACGAAAAAUCUAUUCAGGAAAAGCAACAAAAUCUUAAGAAGAUAAAUACAAAAUCAAGUUGUCAAACCAUGACACUUGAUACAUUUUUGGAGACAAAUGGGAUUCAUGUGGAAGGAGAGGAAGAACAUAGUGGAGCAAAUGCUAAUGAAGUUGGAGAUGAUGAUGAUGAUGAUUUCUUGGAUGAUGAGGACUAUGUUGGUGAAUAUGAAGAUGCAGUUCUUCAUGGUGAUGACAAUUACCUUAUGGAAACUAACAAUGUUGAAGAUACUCCAAAGACUAGAAGGACACGAGAAAAAACAAGGUGUGCUAAAAUCUAUGCAAGAAGUUGGGAAGAAAGAGAAGAGGUGACUUUUUAUGGAGGACAAGCAGUGGGACCAACUCCAAGAAGAGUGAAGGACUUAACUUACUUUACUGGAACAAUGGGAAGGAAUAGUGAUUUCAUAACCUUGAUGUACACUAAUUAAAAAGAUGUGCCCCUCAAAGUCAAAAAGCGCAUAUAGAAAUAUAUUAAGUCAAAGUUCAUUCUUCCAAAAGAGGGAAAAGAGUGGGUGAUGACUCGUGUUCGAGAAGCUUGGAAAGGUUACAAAACAAGAAUCAAGAAAAAGCAUUUUGAGAUAUAUAACAACAUUAUAGAUAUGUUGAAAAAUCUCCCUUCAGAUAUUCCAGAAGUCCAAUUUCAAAAGUUAAUUGCAUAUUGGAGUAUUCCUUCUGUUAAGCGUGAAAUGAAUGAGAACAAAGAAGACCCAUCACAAGUUGAUGUGUUUGUUGCAACUCGAACUGGACGAAAAGGAAAAGAGCUUGAUUCAGGAACACAAGCUGUUAUUGAUAAACUUAAGGGCCAUCAAAAAGCCAGAGACACUCCCAAGAAAGCAUUUACUGCAGUAUUUGGCAAAGAACAACCAGGAAGAGUUCGAUGUUAUGGGAGGACAAUCACAAAAACAUCUCUGCAGAAAGAAUGGGAGAUUGCUAAAAUUAAGUAACAACAUGCAGAGACUACAAGUUCAAUGAAAAUUGAACUUCAUGAGACAAAAGACAAAGUCCAAAGUUUGGAGGAUCUUGUGAAACUUCUCUUGCAACGGAGUUCUCUUAGCACAAAUAUUGAUGAAGCACUGUCUUUAUUACGAGCCAAGGAAUCAACACAUGAUAUAAAUAAUAUGCAAUGUCCGAAUGAUUUAGCAUAUGGGACAAGUCAAGCAUGGAUAUAAAAUAUCACUACAACAUUUUUUAGCUAUUGUAAUAUAUACUGCAAAUAACACUCAAAAAGUGUUAUCUAAACUAACUAAAGAC